GGAAUAUUGCACAAUGGAGGAAACUCUGAUGCAGCAACGCCGCGUGGAGGAUGACGCAUUUCGGUGUGUAAACUCCUUUUAAGAGGGAAGAUAAUGACGGUACCUCUUGAAUAAGCACCGGCUAACUCCGUGCCAGCAGCCGCGGUAAUACGGAGGGUGCAAGCGUUACUCGGAAUCACUGGGCGUAAAGGGUGCGUAGGCUGGCUUCUAAGUCAGAUGUGAAAUCCAAUGGCUUAACCAUUGAACUGCAUUUGAAACUGGAAGCCUAGAGUUCAGAAGGUGCAGAUGGAAUUAGUGGUGUAGGGGUAAAAUCCGUAGAUAUCACUAGGAAUAUCAACAGCGAAGGCGAUCUGCUGGGAUGAUACUGACGCUGAGGCACGAAAGCGUGGGGAGCAAACAG
rnacentral:rRNA from 1 species